CAGUAGCCGCGGUAACACGUAGGGUGCAAGCGUUAAUCGGAAUUACUGGGCGUAAAGCGUGCGCAGGCGGUUAUAUAAGACAGAUGUGAAAUCCCCGGGCUCAACCUGGGAACUGCAUUUGUGACUGUAUAGCUAGAGUACGGCAGAGGGGGAUGGAAUUCCGCGUGUAGCAGUGAAAUGCGUAGAUAUGCGGAGGAACACCGAUGGCGAAGGCAAUCCCCUGGGCCUGUACUGACGCUCAUGCACGAAAGCGUGGGGAGCAAACAGGAUUAGAUACCCCUGUAGUCCCUGUCUCUUAUAC
rnacentral:rRNA from 1 species